GAAAUGCGAUAAGUAGUGUGAAUUGCAGAAUUCAGUGAAUCAUCGAAUCUUUGAACGCACAUUGCGCCCCUUGGUAUUCCAUGGGGCAUGCCUGUUCGAGCGUCAUUUGUACCCUCAAGCUCUGCUUGGUGUUGGGUGUUUGUCCCGUCUCCGCGCGUGGACUCGCCCCAAAGUGAUUGGCAGCCGGCGUACUGGUCCCGGAGCGCAGCACAUGUCGCGCAAACGAGUGCCUUGGUACGGCGGCGUCCAUAAGCCCCUCUCUCACGCUCUUGACCUCGGAUCAGGUAGGGAUACCCGCUGAACUUAAGU
rnacentral:misc_RNA from 1 species